GCGGGCGUAGCUCAGUGGUAGAGCAGAGCCCUUCCAAGGCUCGUGUCGCCGGUUCGAUCCCGGCCGCCCGCUCCU
rnacentral:tRNA from 1 species